rnacentral:rRNA from 1 species
CUGCAGCUCAAGUGGUGACCACUAUUAUUGGGCCUAAAACGUUCGUAGCCGGCUGAGUAAAUGCUUGGGUAAAUCGUGCCGCUCAACGGUACGAAUUCCGGGUAGACUGUUAAACUUGAGACCGGGAGAGGCUAGAGGUACUCCUGGGGUAGAGGUGAAAUUCUGUAAUCCUAGGGGGACCACCAGUGGCGAAGGCGUCUAGCUAGAACGGGUCUGACGGUGAGGGACGAAGCCCUGGGGCGCGAACCGGAUUAGAUACCCGAGUAGUCC